GUCAAGGGUAGAGACAUCUUGCUCAACAUAUAGGGCUCUGGUGAGGUAUUGUGGAAAAGUCUGCUCUUUCUACAUAAAGAAGAACAGUCACAACAGAGAGCAUGCAGCGAAUAUUCACCAGCUUUGCUCCUUUACUUCAGCAGGUCCCUCCUUUCAGAAGAUGUACUGCACCAACUUAACCUCCGAAGGAAUU